GCCUGCUUAGCUCAGUGGUAGAGCGCGUCACUUGUAUGUCAUGUGAUUCAUCCAUGAAAUACAUGACGAGGUCAGUCGUUCAAACCGGCUAGUUGGCA